AACGCAACUUGCGCCCUUUGGUAUUCCGACGGGCAUGCCUGUUUGAGAGUCAUGAACAUCUCAAUCCUUCGGGUUUUAUGACCUGUUGGACUUGGAUUUGGGUGUUUGCCGCGACCUGCAAAGGACGUCGGCUCGCCUUAAAUGUGUUAGUGGGAAGGUGAUUACCUGUCAGCCCGGCGUAAUAAGUUUCGCUGGGCCUUGGGGUAGUUGUCGGCUUGCUCAUAACAACCAUCUUUUUUUUGUUUGACCUCAAAUCAGGUAGGGCUACCCGCUGAACUUAA
rnacentral:misc_RNA from 1 species